ACGUUAGCGGCGGACGGGUGAGUAACACGUGGGUGACCUACCUAUAAGACUGGGAUAACUCCGGGAAACCGGGGCUAAUACCGGAUAACACAUGAAACCGCAUGGUUUCAUGAUGAAAGACGGUUUUGCUGUCACUUAUAGAUGGACCCGCGGCGUAUUAGCUAGUUGGUAAGGUAACGGCUUACCAAGGCAACGAUACGUAGCCGACCUGAGAGGGUGAUCGGCCACACUGGAACUGAGACACGGUCCAGACUCCUACGAGGCAGCAGUA
rnacentral:rRNA from 1 species